AAUUAUUUUCGAUCAAUUAAAUAUCAUUCAACAUUAUUUAUAACGAAUAUCGAUGUCAUUAUUACGAAUAGUUAUUCAAUUGUUUUCGAAUAUCAUUGUAUUACAUGUUUUACAUAUUAUUGUAUAGCAGUAUAGUUUUUUCAAUUUUUUUAAUAUAUAUUACGUAUUCAUGUCAUUAUAUUUUUUAAAUUUUUGUUAGGUGUACCUUUAUUUAUUUUUUUGUUUUAUUUGUGAUAUAUAUUCGGUGUAUUAUAAAUCUUAUAUUUUCAUCAAAUAAACAUGAUGCAUCAGUAACUAAAAUGAACAGUGUUAAAUAUAUUUAGAAUACGUAGGUAUAUAAUAUUGAAUAUUCGUAUCAACAGUAAAAUAAAUUAAUCUUCCUAAAAAAAGUAAAAUAAAUUAAUCUAUAGGUGCAUAUACUUCAACGGGAAUCUUUGAUUUGCAGGAAUAAAGUUUGUAAUUAUGAAAACUCUAAUAAUCUACAAAAUAAGGAAUGAAUGUGGAGGCGUGAAAAUCGGAAGAGCGAGAUUCUUCAAGAUUUACUCUAAUAAUAAUUAAUCACAUUUUUUUAUUGAAUAUUCGGUUUUAAUCCUGUCCGCUUAAUUCUCAAGAUCUAACGGCAAGUACUAAUUCUCUAUUCUUUAUUAUAUCC
rnacentral:lncRNA from 1 species